UACGGAGGAUGCAAGCGUUAUCCGGAAUGAUUGGGCGUAAAGCGUCCGCAGGUGGCUAUGUAAGUCUGCUGUCAAAGACCGGGGCUUAACUUCGGAAAGGCAGUGGAAACUGAACAGCUAGAGUAUGGUAGGGGCAGAGGGAAUUCCUGGUGUAGCGGUGAAAUGCGUAGAGAUCAGGAAGAACACCGGUGGCGAAAGCGCUCUGCUGGACCUUAACUGACACUGAGGGACGAAAGCUAGGGGAGCGAAUGGG
rnacentral:rRNA from 1 species